rnacentral:piRNA from 6 species
UUUCGUACGUAGCAGAGCAGCUCCCUC